rnacentral:rRNA from 1 species
ACGUAGGGGGCGAGCGUUGUCCGGAAUCAUUGGGCGUAAAGGGCGUGUAGGCGGACGUUUAAGUCUGGUGUGAAAGACUGGGGCUCAACCCCAGGGCUGCACCGGAAACUGGGCGUCUUGAGGACAGGAGAGGAAAGCGGAAUUCCACGUGUAGUGGUGAAAUGCGUAGAGAUCCGGAGGAACCCCGGUGGCGAAGGCGACUUGCUGGGCCUGAACUGACGCUCAGACGCGAAAGCAUGGGGAGCGAACGG